AUUGAACGCUGGCGGCAGGCCUAACACAUGCAAGUCGAGCGGAUGAAGGGAGCUUGCUUCUGGAUUCAGCGGCGGACGGGUGAGUAAUGCCUAGGAAUCUGCCUGGUAGUGGGGGAUAACGUCCGGAAACGGGCGCUAAUACCGCAUACGUCCUGAGGGCGAACGUGGGGGAUCAUCGGACCUCACGCUAUCAGAUGAGCCUAGGUCGGAUUAGCUAGUUGGUGGGGUAAAGGCCUACCAAGGCGACGAUCCGUAACUGGUCUGAGAGGAUGAUCAGUCACACUGGAACUGAGACACGGUCCAGACUCCUACGGGAGGCAGCAGUGGGGAAUAUUGGACAAUGGGCGAAAGCCUGAUCCAGCCAUGCCGCGUGUGUGAAGAAGGUCUUCGGAUUGUAAAGCACUUUAAGUUGGGAGGAAGGGCAGUAAGUUAAUACCUUGCUGUUUUGACGUUACCAACAGAAUAAGCACCGGCUAACUUCGUG
rnacentral:rRNA from 1 species